UCCGAUGUCGUCCAGCGGU
rnacentral:siRNA from 1 species